AUUGAACGCUGGCGGCAAGCCUAACACAUGCAAGUCGAACGGUAGCAGGAAGAAGCUUGCUUCUUCGCUGACGAGUGGCGGACGGGUGAGUAAUGUCUGGGAAACUGCCUGAUGGAGGGGGAUAACUACUGGAAACGGUAGCUAAUACCGCAUAACGUCGCAAGACCAAAGAGGGGGACCUUCGGGCCUCUUGCCAUCGGAUGUGCCCAGAUGGGAUUAGCUUGUUGGUGGGGUAACGGCUCACCAAGGCGACGAUCCCUAGCUGGUCUGAGAGGAUGACCAGCCACACUGGAACUGAGACACGGUCCAGACUCCUACGGGAGGCAGCAGUGGGGAAUAUUGCACAAUGGGCGCAAGCCUGAUGCAGCCAUGCCGCGUGUAUGAAGAAGGCCUUCGGGUUGUAAAGUACUUUCAGCGGGGAGGAAGGGAGUAAAGUUAAUACCUUUGCUCAUUGACGUUACCCGCAGAAGAAGCACCGGCUAACUCCGUG
rnacentral:rRNA from 1 species